rnacentral:lncRNA from 1 species
AGCCCACUGCACCACAGCAGGAACUCGAAGGCAUAUUUUAAAAGUAACCGUCUCUGUGGAUCUCUCCAGGCGCCAGGCAAGAAAUAGAUUGAAUACAAUAGGAUGCUUGUGAGAGAUGCAAGCGGGCAGGGACAUCAGCCCUGACAAAGCUCCUAAUUUCAAGCCUAAGGAAGUGCUUCUUUCCUCUGGUGAAGAAGCUGCUCUGUCUGCAUCUCUGUCUCUGUCUCUCUCUGCGGCAUGAAGAUCCAGGGCUCAAGACACCUUCUCAGGCUGGUGAAAUUGAAGAUGCUCUUGUUACAUAAACAUGACUCUCUCUCUGGACAGUGUCACGGACAGUCCUCUCUGGACUUAGAAAAUGGAACAACUGUGCCUGGCUGCUCUCAAAGCUCCCAGCCAUAAUGACGCAGGAUAUGUUUUCUUGAGCCUUUUUGGAGCUCGUUUAUUAAUUUCCUGUAUUUACCCAUGUUACUCUGGGGAAAGAGAACCAGCAAGUAAGCCUGGUUUGCCUUCUCAGUAUCAACGAGAAUGAUCAUUAAUGAUCACGUUUAUUGCUAGCAGUGCAAAGAGCAUAGACUGGGAGUAAUGAGCCCUGGACUCCAGGGGUGGUUCUUGGGACAAGUCACCUCAUAUCCUUGGACCCUCGGGUUCCUUAUCCAAAAUGAAAGGGUUGGAACAGAUGAUUUUUUAAAGGACUUGUUCAGUGGUAAAACUUCCCACACCAGUCUUCGAAGGGCACACAUUUUUCCUCCCUAGAUUUCAGCCAGGAAUGGAUAUAAUCAGCGACAUGUAACUCAAGAUGCAGGAAGGCAUCCGCUGCUGCUGUUAAGGGAUAGUUUUCUGGAGGGGGACGGACUAGUCAGGCAGCAUCUUCCCUGGGCAACUGUGUCUUCUGCAUCCACUGCGGUAGAUCCAUCACUGCGCUAGAACCAUCCAUUGUGAUAGAACCAUCCGUUGUGAUAGAACCAUCCAUUGCGAUAGCACCAUCCAUUGUGAUAGCACCAUCCAUUGUGAUAGAACCAUCCAUUGCGAUAGCACCAUCCAUUGUGAUAGAACCAUCCGUUGUGAUAGAACCAUCCAUUGCGAUAGAACCGUUCCUCUACUAAGGCAUUGGCAGGAGCCUUCUGUAGAACUCUGCCCUUGACGUACCCUGAGACAUAGGUGUCUGCGGUCAGAGUCAUCCGGAACACUAUGGUCCUCUGGAGAGUCACAGCACCUCUUAAUAUGUUGAGGGAUCUGAGAGGUCCUGCAUGAAAACACCUGUUAACUUUGCUGAACCUAGCAUUUCUCUGACUUCAUUUACCAGGGAGCUCCUUUCUUUGUCACAUCUACCAGCAUUCCAGGAAGAAAAAAAAUAUCUCGAAGAGACUAUUUGAAUUGUUAUUCUAGAAAAGCCUUUAGACCUUCCUAAGAGUUUCCGCCUUGGGAGAGAGAGGGAAUUAUAACCCCUGUUAGCUAGUUUGAUGACUGUCUACCAAGAUGAGCCUUCUUGAUAGAUGUGGUCUGCAGGGAUUGUCCUCAUAAGCAGCCACACUGGAGUGUCCAUCACCCAUCAGGGCACAAGGAAGACCCGUCUUCGCUGGUAUCAGCCUUGUUCCGUUAUGCUGAGGAGUAUUCCCUCGCCUUUACAUGCUUGCAUUAACCUCCAGAUUCGUUGGCAUCCUUCUUUAUUAUUAUUUUAUUAUUUUUUCUUUUUACCGCUGUACCGGAGGCCUAUGGAAGUUCCCGGAGCAGGGGCUGAACUGGAGGGGCAGCAGCAGGCCGCCGUCACAGCCGUGGCAACCCAGAUCUGAGCUGUGUCUGUGACCUACACUACAGCUCAAGGCAAUACCAGAUCCUCAGCCCAUGGAGCGAGGCCAGGGAUCGAACCUGUGUCCUCAUGGAUACUAGUCAGGUUCUAAACCCACUGAACCACAACAGGUACUCCCUCUUUUUAGACAUAGUAUAAGACAAACAUCUGUUCUGAGCCCUCACAGGGGUAGCAUAGAAUGGUUUAUUAAUGCUCAUUGGGAGACAAUGCUUCACGGGUCUCCAGUAUUUUUACACAUCUUGUGAGCAAGACACGCACUGCCCUUUCUUCCAGACUAGAUGUUCAAGGAUAUUUGUAGAUAUUUUGAAAAUAAAGAUACGAGUUCGGUUAUGGCUCAGCAGCAAUGAACCCAACCAAUAUCCACAAGGAUGUGGGUUCAAUUGCUGGCCUCACAGCUCGGGUCAAGGAUCCCGAGUUGCCGUGGCUGUGGUGUAGGUCACAGACACAGCUCCGAUUUGACCCCUAGCCUGGGAACUUGCAUAUGCCA